UACGUAGGGGGCAAGCGUUGUCCGGAAUCAUUGGGCGUAAAGCGCGCGCAGGCGGCCCGGUAAGUCCGCUGUAAAAGUCCAGGGCUCAACCCUGGAAAGCCGGUGGAUACUGUCGGGCUAGAGUCCGGAAGAGGCGAGUGGAAUUCCUGGUGUAGCGGUGGAAUGCGCAGAUAUCAGGAGGAACACCGAUGGCGAAGACAGCUCGCUGGGACGGUACUGACGCUGAGGCGCGAAAGCGUGGGGAGCGAACAGG
rnacentral:rRNA from 1 species